GUCGUAUAAAGUUCUAGAUAGAUGAUUGAUUAUGACAGUUUUCUAUCUAUAUGUCUUGACCAAAUCUUGUGCCAGCAGUCGCGGCAAUACAAGGAAGACUAGUGUUAUUCAUCUUAAUUAGGUUUAAAGGGUACCUAGACAGUAUUUCUAGCCUCAAAAGGGAACAGACUUACUAGAGUUUUAUGGGAGAGGAAAAUAUUAGAACCAUUGGAGUAGAGAUAAAAUGUUUUGAUACUAAUGGGACGGAUAGCGGCGAAGGCAAACCUCUAUGUAAUAACUGACGUUGAGGGACGAAGGCUUGGGGAGCGAAUAGGAUUAGAUA
rnacentral:ncRNA from 1 species